UGUGCUUACAGCCUCUGUGGAGGUCACAGAACAGCAUGCUGUAAAGUGUAACACAGCCUCUCGGUGGUCUCUGAAAUUAUGACAUUAGAAAACACAUUUUUUGUUCUUUAAAAACGGUUGUAUCUGCUUGUAGAGUCUGACCUGUUGAAUUUUCACUGCAGGAAAUAACGUCUUUGCUCUCGCUUUAUGGUGGACAGUUCAACAAUCAGCAGGAAAUUCGUGUAAAUUCUCCAUUUUGGAUUCUUGAUAUUCCUUCGGAAGAGAUGGCAAGGGGACUAAUGAAACGGACAGUGUGCGCAAAGUCUAUAUUUGAAUUGUGGGGUCAUGGCAGAUCUGCAGGGGAGCUUUAUACAUCUCUGAAGAGCUAUCCAGUGGAGAAGAUGCUUCCGUAUCUACAGGCAGACUCUACGUACAAAAUACGUAUCCAUACGUUCAACAAAACGCUGACCCAAGCAGAGAAAAUAAAAAAGAUAGAUGCACUAGAAUUUCUGCCAUUCAGUGGAAAAGUGAAUUUGAAGAGUCCGGAACAUGUCUUCUGGAUUUUGGAAGAUUAUGGCCUGGAGCCUAAUAACGUGCCUGAAGAGCCUCUUGAUCUGUAUUUUGGCAGAUGGAUUGCAGAUGGCCAAAGAGAACUUAUUGAGUCCUACAGUGUAAAAAAGAGACACUUCAUCGGGAACACUAGCAUGGAUGCCUGCUUGUCUUUCAUUAUGGCAAACCAUGGGAGAGUAAAACCCAACGAUAUUGUAUUUGAUCCAUUUGUUGGAACAGGUGGCCUUCUUAUCUCCUCAGCACACUUUGGAGCAUAUGUGUAUGGUGCUGAUAUAGACUACAACACAGUCCAUGGGUUAGGGAAGGCCAGCAGAAAGAACCAGAAAUGGAGGGGGCCAGAUGAAAACAUCAGAGCUAAUCUCCGGCAGUAUGGCCUYGAGAGAUUCUACCUGGAUGCCCUCGUUUCCGAUUCUUCGAAACCGAUAUGGCGAAAGGGGGUGCUCUUUGAUGCCAUCAUUACAGAUCCACCAUACGGAAUCCGAGAAGCUACUCGCAGGACAGGUUCACAAAAAGAAGCAGUUAAGUCGAGUGAAAGAAGCACAGAAAAUCCCGUCUUCAUUUCAUCCAGCUAUCAUCUGAGUGACAUCUUUUUUGACCUAUUGAAAUUUGCAGCAGAAUACCUGGUGAUGGGAGGAAGAUUAGUUUACUGGCUGCCAAUAUACAGGCCUGAGUAUGUAUUCUUGAUUUCUGAUACACAGAAGAGAUCAUUCCCCGGCACCCCUGUCUGAAGCUUAUUAGUAACUGUGAGCAGAUGCUUUCCAGCCACACAUCAAGGCGCCUGAUAACCAUGGAAAAGGUGAAAGAAUUCAAGGAUCAAGAUCACAGUUCUUACUUGUUGGACGGUCAAUAUAUGCCAUACAAGGGACACAAUUCUUUUCGUGAGAAGUAUUUCAGUGGUGUGACAAAAAGGAUUGCCAAGGAAGAAAAAGACAACCAGAAGUAAAAUAUAAUAUAAACAGAUUCAAAAAUGAGGAAAGAAUAAAGAUCAUGUUUCUUUGUAAGGACAUCUGGAUGUGCGCAUUCAUCUGGACGCUUCAGAAAAUAAAUACUGCUCUUGAUUUUUAAAACAAGAUGAAACCCACAACACUGGUUGAAAGCAGCUUUUUUUAAAAUUAGCUUUGUUUAUAGCAGAUUUUAUUGUACAAGUUUUUUGAGCCUUAUUUAAUUUAUAUUUGUACUUUCAAGUACUACURAUAAUAAUGGUUUUAGUUGAUCAUUGUUCUUUCACCAUUAACAUUUACAAAAAGGUAGUAGUAUUAUUUGGCUUCUUAAACUGUGAACAUCUGGCUGUUUUAGAAGCACGUUGUGGUGAUUAAGGAUUGCUUAUUAAGAAGAUCGUUUUCGUUUUUUUUU